GAUGAAGAACGCAGCAAAAUGCGAUAAGUAAUGUGAAUUGCAGAAUUCAGUGAAUCAUCGAAUCUUUGAACGCACAUUGCGCCCGCCAGUAUUCUGGCGGGCAUGCCUGUUCGAGCGUCAUUUCAACCCUCAAGCUCAGCUUGGUGUUGGGACUCGCGGUAACCCGCGUUCCCCAAAUCGAUUGGCGGUCACGUCGAGCUUCCAUAGCGUAGUAAUCAUACACCUCGUUACUGGUAAUCGUCGCGGCCACGCCGUAAAACCCCAACUUCUGAAUGUUGACCUCGUAUCAGGUAGGAAUACCCGCUGAACUUAAGCAUAUCAAUAAGCGGAGGA
rnacentral:misc_RNA from 1 species